GGUAACGCUGGCGGCGUGUCUUAGCCAUGCAAGUCGAGCGGACUUAUGGGGUAACUUAUAAGUCAGCGGCGGACGGCGGAGUAACACGUAGCUAACCUACCCUCUGGACGGGGAUAACCUACCGAAAGGUGGGCUAAUACCCGAUGUAGUCAUCCUGUAUAGGGGUGAUGAAAGGUGGGCUUCUGUUUACAAGCUCAUGCUGGAGGAGGGGGCUGCGGCCUAUCAGGUAGUUGGUAGGGUAAUAGCCUACCAAGCCGAUGACGGGUAGCCGGCCUGAGAGGGUGACCGGCCCGAGGGGCACUGAGAUACGGGUCCCACUCCUACGGGAGGCAGCAGGCUAGAAAUUUGGGCAAUGGGGGAAACCCUGACCCAGUGACGCCGCGUGCAGGAAGGAGCCCUUCGGGGUGUAAACUGCUGUCGUGUAGGGAGAAGGGUACUAAGGUGAGCAAUCUUAGUACUUGACGGUACUACAGGAGGAAGCCCAGGCUAACCUCGUG
rnacentral:rRNA from 1 species